AACGCACAUUGCGCCCUCUGGUAUUCCGGGGGGCAUGCCUGUUCGAGCGUCAUUACAAAAUUCAAGCUCUGCUUGGUAUUGGGCGGCCGUCCCCUCCGGGGGGCGCCCCCGAAAAUCAGCGGCGGUGCGGCCGGACUUCGAGCGCAGUGAACCCUAAACAAGUCUCGCUACUGGAGUCCCGGGCGCCCCGGCCGGACAACAAACCACAUUUUUUCUAUGGUUGACCUCGGAUCAGGUAGGGAUACCCGCUGAACUUAA
rnacentral:misc_RNA from 1 species